UUUGAUGACGUCACGGGGCGUGUCUUCGACCUCCUGAGCCGGGCCCGGCUGCAGCUGGGGAGAAUCGACCGCAGGCAGAGGGUGGGGUCGGAGGAACCUGAGGAGCCCCCGGAGGAACCUGGAGAGCCCCAGGGGUCCCCCAGGAUCAAACACGUCUGCAGGAGAGCCCCGCCCCCCGAGCCGGCCACGCCCCCGGAAGGUGAGACCCCCAAAAUCCCCC